rnacentral:rRNA from 1 species
GGACUACAGGGGUAUCUAAUCCUGUUUGCUCCCCACGCUUUCGUGUCUCAGCGUCAGUACUCGUCCAGUUGGCCGCCUUCGCCACCGGUGUUCCUCUCGAUAUCUACGAAUUUCACCUCUACACCGAGAAUUCCACCAACCUCUCCGGUACUCAAGCCGUCGCAGUAUCGGGUGCACUUCCUGGGUUGAGCCCAGGGCUUUCACAUCCGACUUGCGUGGCCGCCUACACACGCUUUACGCCCAGUAAUUCCGAGCAACGUUCGCACCCUCUGUCUUACCGCGGCUGCUGGCAC